rnacentral:rRNA from 1 species
GUGGACGCCAGUCUGCGUGGAGCCGACCUUGAAAUACCACCCUUUAAUGUUUGAUGUUCUAACGUGGACCCGUGAUCCGGGUUGCGGACAGUGUCUGGUGGGUAGUUUGACUGGGGCGGUCUCCUCCUAAAGAGUAACGGAGGAGCACGAAGGUUGGCUAAUCCUGGUCGGACAUCAGGAGGUUAGUGCAAUGGCAUAAGCCAGCUUGACUGCGAGCGUGACGGCGCGAGCAGGUGCGAAAGCAGGUCAUAGUGAUCCGGUGGUUCUGAAUGGAAGGGCCAUCGCUCAACGGAUAAAAGGUACUCCGGGGAUAACAGGCUGAUACCGCCCAAGAGUUCAUAUCGACGGCGGUGUUUGGCACCUCGAUGUCGGCUCAUCACAUCCUGGGGCUGAAGUAGGUCCCAAGGGUAUGGCUGUUCGCCAUUUAAAGUGGUACGCGAGCUGGGUUUAGAACGUCGUGAGACAGUUCGGUCCCUAUCUGCCGUGGGCGCUGGAGAACUGAGGGGGGCUGCUCCUAGUACGAGAGGACCGGAGUGGACGCAUCACUGGUGUUCGGGUUGUCAUGCCAAUGGCACUGCCCGGUAGCUAAAUGCGGAAGAGAUAAGUGCUGAAAGCAUCUAAGCACGAAACUUGCCCCGAGAUGAGUUCUCCCUGAGACUUAAAGUCUCCUGAAGGAACGUUGAAGACGACGACGUUGAUAGGCCGGGUGUGUAAGCGCAGCGAUGCGUUGAGCUAACCGGUACUAAUGAACC